GACGAACGCUGGCGGCGUGCUUAACACAUGCAAGUCGAACGGUGAAGCUCCAGCUUGCUGGAGUGGAUCAGUGGCGAACGGGUGAGUAACACGUGAGCAACCUGCCCCAGACUCUGGAAUAAGCGCUGGAAACGGCAUCUAAUACUGGAUACGAGAUCAAGCCGCAUGGUUAUGGUCUGGAAAGUUUUUCGGUUUGGGAUGGGCUCGCGGCCUAUCAGCUUGUUGGUGAGGUAAUGGCUCACCAAGGCGACGACGGGUAGCCGGCCUGAGAGGGCGACCGGCCACACUGGGACUGAGACACGGCCCAGACUCCUACGGGAGGCAGCAGUGGGGAAUAUUGCACAAUGGGCGAAAGCCUGAUGCAGCGACGCCGCGUGAGGGAUGACGGCCUUCGGGUUGUAAACCUCUUUCAGCAGGGAAGAAGCGAAAGUGACGGUACCUGCAGAAGAAGCACCGGCUAACUACGUG
rnacentral:rRNA from 1 species